rnacentral:rRNA from 1 species
CUACGGGAGGCACCAGUGGGGAAUAUUGGACAAUAGGGGCAACCCUGAUCCAGCCAUGCCGCGUGUGUGAAGAAGGCCUUAGGGUUGUAAAGCACUUUCAGAUGUGAGGAAAGGUGUGUGCUUAAUACGUACAUACUGUGACGUUAGCAUCAGAAGAAGGACCGGCUAACUCCGUGCCAGCAGCCGCGGUAAUACGGAGGGUCCGAGCGUUAAUCGGAAUUACUGGGCGUAAAGCGCGCGUAGGUGGUUUCGUCAGUCAGAUGUGAAAGCCCCGGGCUCAACCUGGGAAUUGCACCUGAUACUGCGGAACUAGAGUACGAUAGAGGGGAGUGGAAUUUCCGGUGUAGCGGUGAAAUGCGUAGAGAUCGGAAGGAACACCAGUGGCGAAGGCGACUCCCUGGAUUGAUACUGACACUGAGGUGCGAAAGCGUGGGGAGCAAACAGGAUUAGAUACCCGGGUAGUC